rnacentral:rRNA from 1 species
CGGACGGGUGAGUAAUGUAUGGGGAUCUGCCUGAUGGCGGGGGAUAACUACUGGAAACGGUAGCUAAUACCGCAUAAUGUCUACGGACCAAAGCGGGGGACCUCCGGGCCUCGCGCCAUCAGAUGAACCCAUAUGGGAUUAGCUAGUAGGUGGGGUAACGGCUCACCUAGGCGACGAUCCCUAGCUGGUCUGAGAGGAUGACCAGCCACACUGGAACUGAGACACGGUCCAG